rnacentral:misc_RNA from 1 species
AAAUGCGAUAAUUAAUGUGAAUUGCAGAAUUCAGUGAAUCAUCGAGUCUUUGAACGCACAUUGCGCCCCCUGGUAUUCCGGGGGGCAUGCCUGUCCGAGCGUCAUUGCUGCCUCAAGCACGGCUUGUGUGUUGGGCUUCCGUCCCUGGCAACGGGGACGGGCCCAAAAGGCAGUGGCGGCACCAUGUCUGGUCCUCGAGCGUAUGGGGCUUUGUCACCCGCUCCCGUAGGUCCAGCUGGCAGCUAGCCUCGCAACCAAUCUUUUUAACCAGGUUGACCUCGGAUCAGGUAGGGAUACCCGCUGAACUUAAGC